rnacentral:rRNA from 1 species
ACGUACACUCCUACGGGAGGCAGCAGUAGGGAAUCUUCCACAAUGGGUGCAAACCUGAUGGAGCAAUGCCGCGUGAGUGAAGAAGGUCUUCGGAUCGUAAAGCUCUGUUGUUAGAGAAGAACACGUGCUAGGUAACUACUAGCGCCUUGACGGUAUCUAACCAGAAAGUCACGGCUAACUACGUGCCAGCAGCCGCGGUAAUACGUAGGUGACAAGCGUUGUCCGGAUUUAUUGGGCGUAAAGGGAGCGCAGGCGGUCUGUUUAGUCUAAUGUGAAAGCCCACGGCUUAACCGUGGAACGGCAUUGGAAACUGACAGACUUGAAUGUAGAAGAGGAAAAUGGAAUUCCAAGUGUAGCGGUGGAAUGCGUAGAUAUUUGGAGGAACACCAGUGGCGAAGGCGAUUUUCUGGUCUAACAUUGACGCUGAGGCUCGAAAGCGUGGGGAGCGAACAGGAUUAGAUACCCCAGUAGUCCCAUGAU